rnacentral:rRNA from 1 species
GGAAGAAUUGUGGUAAGGAGUGAAAUACAAAUCGGACUAGGAUAUAGCUGGUUUUCUGCGAAAAUUGUUUUAGCAAAUUGUUUAUUAUAUUAUUAUUAGUAGGUAUAGCACUGAAUAUCUAAAUUUUGAUUUAGAAGGGAGUUUAUUAAACUUAUCUUGGAUAUUUAAUCUCAGAAUGACUAAUAUGAGUAAGGUAAAUAAUCGGACUUUUUGCGAUAAGGUAUAAAGUCAAAAGGGAAACAGCCCAGAACAGUAUUUAAAGCUCUAAAAUUAUUAUUAAGUGAAAUAAAAGAAGUAAUUCUUUAAUUACAAUCAAAAAG